GACAUCUUUAUGGUGCCUCAUCCAUGGUCUCAAACACCAUCGCAGCCGUUUCGCACUCAGUAGUGUGAAGGAGAUGGAUCCAAGGGGAUCUGCGGCUCUUCCGACAGCGGAGGGACCAGGUUAUUCCUGAUUCCGACAGUGGGUUCCAAACUAAAAAUUGGAGGAGUUUUUUCAUUCCCUUCAAACUCGCAAUUUCAUUCCCUAAUAUGAUCUUUGUGCUCAGCUUCGAAUUAUAUACAUCUUGAGUUAGGGCCUGUUUAUGUGAUUUCUCUGUGGCCGCUAGAGGGUGACGACAUGGAGAAUAGGACACCUCUAAGGAACAAUUCAGUAGAAUUAGACAAGGCUGAUGGGCUCAAUGCAGUGGCUAGGGUUGGAAUCUCAGAUGAACAUCGGUUAAUCCUUUGUGAUCUUCAUUGGAGUUUUUUGGUUUUCGGUGAGUACAAGUAUUCAGACUUGAUAAUUUAAUUUUUUUUUAGGAAACAAAGCCAUUGGAUUAUGCAUUGAAGAAACCUGACAUGGGAAAACCAUCUGCAGCAAGAUGAUAUAGCCAAGGCAUAACCAUUAGAUAGAACUUUACACGUGUCAUAGCAAAGGAAAAAAUUGCACAAUAAAUUAUUGCAGGGUCUUGAGGAUAACAUGUACUCAAGACUCAACUUUGCAGGGCAAGUUCAGCCUGAUUAAAUGGGAUCUACAGUGUCAAAUCCACCUCUUUCAAUUGCCUCCGGUCCAGUUUUGAUAACAUGUGAAAUGGAUCCUCAAUCUUAAAUCGACUGAUUCCUCUUUAUCAGUGAGUUCCAUGUUCAUGCCGAUGGAGGUAAGGUAUGACAGGGUUUAGGGUUUUGAUGGUGCUUAUGAAGUUGAGUUUGUAAAUGAUUUUACUUCUCUAUUUAUCCUUUGAUUCUAUUUUUUCUUUUUUUCUUUCAUUUCCUUUACUGAUUAUUCCAAAUUUUAUGGCAGGAAUCGGAUAGGGAACCAAAUACUUAUGAAAACAUUAAGCAACAGUUGGAGCAACUAAGAUGCUGAUAUCUGGAUGUCCCUGAUGGUGGAUCAAGGUUGAGCACACCGAAAAAGUGAAGACGGGAUGGAUAAGAUGGUUAUGGAUGCUGGAGAUUAAUUUUUGAUGCAUCUAUUUGUGAUGGGGUUGGAACUGGCUAUGGUGUGAUUCAUAGAGACCAGGAAGGGCAAUGUGUUAAAGAGCCAAAUAUUGCAGAAGCACUUGGGACACAUUGGGCUUUGACUUGGGCAAGAGGUGGAAGAGCCCAAAGAUGCUCACACAUCUCUUCGGUUUGGUGCCAAUCAAAGUUCAGAUUCAUUAACCCCUCCUUUUCUUGAAGGUUUUUGAUAUAGCAAUGAGAAGAAAUGAAGUAGACUUCUUGGAUCAGUUUUAGUGCCCAUAUCAGCAGAAAUUCACAUUUUUAGAUCUACCCUCUCAGAUUCUUCUACCAAUGAGAACACACUUGAGGUCCCAAAUUCUCCAGAUCCUCCAUAAAGGUACGAGCUGAUGUAUGCUCACAAGUUGGUUUAUGUUUUACCAAAAGGGAUUUAUCUAAGAGUUGUUGGCCGUAGUAGUCCAGCUGAUAUAAAACCAGUGCUAAGGUCUUGCCAAUGAUGUAAUAUUAGGACUGAAUUUCUGAAGGAGGAGGCUGUAGAUGAGCAUUGUCGAUGCAUCCGCUGAUGGCAAAGAAACGGGGCAUCAUGACAGCACUUGCAAUUGAUUUUACAAAAGGUUGCCAUUACUAAAAAGUUUUAGAGAUUUGAGAGAGAGAAUGAAACUGAAUCUGGAAAGAAAGAAGGGGGUGCAAAUAAGGAGCAAGAGGUGGAAGGUGUGAGGGACUUAUAGAAAGGGGAAGUAGGUGUUGCAGUGAGUAGUUUAGGGAAAUUAUGGUGCGUGAUAAAAAUGGUGGUGCUCAUAAUGAUCAUGAAUAGUUUAAUUUGUUAAGGUUCAAAAGGCUCACAUGCGCUCUACUCUAGCCUCAAAACAUCAUGAACAAGUAUGUUUUUUUUGUUUUGUAAAUUUUGGCUCUGUUAAAUUUGUGAAAAAAUGAUUGUUCAAGCCAAGACCUUAAUGGAAAUUUACAUUUUUUUAAAGAUAUAAACGGUUUCCUUGA